GAAUAAGCCCCAUCAUCACUGUUGAUAACCAAGAAGCGGCGUGGGGGUGGGACAAGUGGGCAGGGAUGCUCUUUACUGGAAGAUGGGACAGUGGAUGAGGAACAAGAGAGACAAUUCUUGGAGUCAGACAGUUCUAUGUGGGUUUGAGGCGUCUGAUCCAACACUUGAGAUAAAGGAACAGUCCGGGGGGGGGGGGGCACACGGGUGUCAUUAUCAAUGGGGACAUUAUAAGGGAUGUUUGGUUUCCGUGUGAAGUCUGCGUGCCUUCAGCUUCCAAGGAACAAGCUCAGUCAUUGUGCUCCUUCCAAAGCAACAGGCCAUGUCCCCGGGCUGUAACCAUUCCAAGGCAAGGGGUAAGAUUCUGGUUCUGUAGCACUUCCAAAGCACUGGGUUAGGUACAUGACUGUAUGGGUUAGGCACCAUGAUUGUAUGGGUUUCAGAGCAAUGGGUUAGGCACCAUGAAUGUAUGGGUUCCAGAGCAAUGGGUUAGGCACCAUGACUGUAUGGGUUCCAGAGCAAUGGGUUAGGUACCAUGAAUGUAUGGGUUCCAGAGCAAGGGGUUAGGCACCAUGACUGUAUGGGUUCCAGAGCAAGGGGUUAGACACCAUGACUGUAUGGGUUCCAAAGCAAUGGGUUAGGCACCAUGAUUGUAUGGAUUCCAGAGCAAUGGGUUAGGUACCAUGAAUGUAUGGGUUCCAGAGCAAUGGGUUAGGCACCAUGACUGUAUGGGUUCCAGAGCAAUGGGUUAGGUACCAUGAAUGUAUGGGUUCCAGAGCAAAGGGUUAGGCACCAUGACUGUAUGGGUUCCAGAGCAAGGGGUUAGACACCAUGACUGUAUGGGUUCCAAAGCAAUGGGUUAGGCACCAUGAUUGUAUGGAUUCCAGAGCAAUGGGUUAGGCACCAUGACUGUAUGGGUUCCAGAGCAAUGGGUUAGGCACCAUGACUGUAUGGGUUCCAGAGCAAUGGGUUAGGCACCAUGACUGUAUGGGUUCCAGAGCAAUGGGUUAGGUACCAUGACUGUAUGGGUUCAGUGGGUUAGGCACCAUGACUGUAUGGGUUCCAGAGCAAUGGGUUAGGUACCAUGACUGUAUGGGUUCAGUGGGUUAGGUACCACAGUUUCACAGACUGUACCUGUUGGGUACCAGGG